UUACACAGUGUUAUCUUGCUAUUUUAUUUGAUUUUUAAUAUUUUAUUUAUAUAGUUUUUAUAAUGAGUUUAAACAACGAAAUUAGUCAUGGGGCCACAGAAGAUACUUUGCUGUCUGUGUUAGGAUAAAGGCAAAACUGCCAUAACAAAGAAUUUCUGAAAUGCAGGGGCUAGUGAUACAGAAGUUUAUUUCACCCUCACACAACAGUCUUCGGGGUGAGUGGCCCAGGUGGGUGAGAUGACUCCACAUGGCCACAUAGGGAUCCAAGUUGUUGGGUCCAAGUUGUUCCAUCUUGUUUCUCCACCUUCCCCUAGGGCCUUGUCCUUUGCUGCACAAAGUCGGGCUGCAGACACAGCCAUGUUCCCAUUCACAGAUAAGACAAAGAGUGGAAAUGGAGGGCGGUCAUAUUUUUUUUUAAACCAAUGAACCCAAGUGCAUACAUCACUUCCACUUACAUUCCACUGUCACGUGGCCACACCUGGCCACAAGGGUGACUAAGAGGUGCAGUCUUUAGGUAGGUAGCCAUAGGCCCAGCUAAAUGCUGUUCUUCUGGAAGAAAGGGAGAAUGGCCUUUGGUGAAUUCAUGGCAGGCUCCACUUCACUGUCGGUCUCCCUCUAUGGGACCCUGGCAUUCCUCCCUGCAGUGGCGCUUUUUUGUCUAAAAGGAAGUGAAAGGCUUUUCUCAUGAAAUACGAUUUAAACAGAGACUUGAAGGCAGCUGCGUGGGUAUCUGAGUAAGAACAUUCCAGCACAGGGAACGACAAGCGUCAGAGGCAUUUAAACCAAACAGACUCCAUCUUGAAAAGUGGCUGGGUAAAAUAAGGCUGAGACCUACUGGGCUGCAUUCUCAGGAGGUCAGGCUUUCUUAGUUAUGGGAUGAGAUAGGAGGUUGGCCACAAGGUGCAAGUCAUAAAGACCUUGCUGAUAAAACAGGAUGUGGUAAAGAAGCUGUUUGGUUUUUAUUUAAUUUUAUAAAAAAAAUAAUUUUUAAUCCGUAUCAUUUCUUAUGAUCCUGUGAAUCCCAGUCCAAAGGCAGGAGAAGACCGACGUUCCCGCUCCAGCAUGCAGGCAGGAAGGGGACAAAUCCCUUCCUCUGCUUUUGUUCUAUCAAGCUUUCAACGGGUUGAAUGAGGCCUCCCCAUAUUGACAAGGGCAAUCUACUUUCCUGAGUCCACCAAUUCAAAUGCUAAUCUCAUCUGAAAACACUCUCACAGACACACCCAGAAGUAAUGUUUAAUCUGGGCACCCCGUAGCCUAGUCAGUUUGACCCAUAAAAUUAACCAUUACAGGAGUUGAGGGCUUCAACAUAUGAAUUUUGAGGGGAUACAAUUCAGUCCAUAUCAUCCGCAGACUCCACUGCUGGUAUUAUGUAAAAUAUAAUAUAUGAAUGUAUAACCUUUCUAAAAAUCUCUAAAAUUCUAAAUUAUGAAUUAUCCAGCCAAAACCAUUUCUGACAAGAGAUUGUUGACCUAUACAAAAUAUCCUAUAACCUCUUUCCUUAAAAGAGUUGAGAGUAUAAGACUAUUGAUCUAGAAAAUAAUAAAAUUUUAGAAAAAUGGAAGAAAAUAGUUCUAUUGCUUGUUUCUCCCUUUAAACUCCUUUUAUUCUAAGGAGAGUACGGGCUUUUAAGAACUUGAUGAAAGGGGUCUAGAAUAUCUCAACCAUGAUUUCAUUUCAGCCCUCAG
rnacentral:lncRNA from 10 species